AUUCCGGAGAGGGAGCUGGGAAACGGUACCACAUCCAAGGAGGGCAGCAGGCGAGCAAAUUACCCAAUUCCGACACGGGGAGGUAGUGACAAUAAAUAACAAUACCGGGCAUCAAUGUUUGGUAAUUUGAAUGAGAUCAAUUUAAAUCCCGUAACGAGGAUCCAUUGGAGGGCAAGUUUGGUGCCAGCAGCCGCGGUAAUUCCAGCUUCAAUAGCGUAUAUUUAAGUUGUUGCCGGUAAAAAGCUUGUAGAUGGGAUUCGGGUGGGUUCCAGCGGUUUGCCUUUGGUAUGUACUGCUGUGGCCUACCUUUAUGCCGGGGAAGUGUUCUUGGGGUUCAUUGUUCGGGAAUAGAAUUUGGCGAGGAUACUUUGGGUAAAACAGGGUGUUCAAAGCAAGCCUUCGCUCGGAAUGCAUUAGCAUGGAAUAUCACGAUAGGACUUUGGCCUAUCUUGUUGGUCUGUAGGACCGGAGUAAUGAUUAAGAGGGACAAUCGGGGGCAUUUGUAUUUCAUUGUCAGAGGUGAAAUUUUUGGAAUUACGAAAGACGAACUUAUGGGAAAGCAUUUGCCAAGGAUGUUUUCAUUAAUCAAGAACGAAAGUUGGGGGGUUGAAGACGAUUAGAUACCGUUGUAGUUUCAACCAUAAACGAUGCCGACUAGGGAUUGGCAGGUGUUUUAUUGAUGACCCCGCCAGCGACCUUAUGAGAAAAAUUCCU
rnacentral:rRNA from 1 species